rnacentral:rRNA from 1 species
UGCCCUCCGCCCCCGGGUCUCCGGGAGGUGCGGGGCGCCGCGGAGGUACGAAACUCUUAUGUAUCACAGUGGCAUCUCUGAGUGAAAAACAAAUAAGUUAAAACUUUCAACAACGGAUCUCUUGGUUCUGGCAUCGAUGAAGAACGCAGCGAAAUGCGAUAAGUAAUGUGAAUUGCAGAAUUCAGUGAAUCAUCGAAUCUUUGAACGCACAUUGCGCCCGGCAGUACUCUGCCGGGCAUGCCUGUUCGAGCGUCAUUCAACCCUCAAGCCCUGCUUGGUGUUGGGGCCCUACGGCUGCCGUAGGCCCUGAAAGGAAGUGGCGGGCUCGCUGCAACUCCGAGCGUAGUAACUCAUUAUCUCGCUAGGGACGUUGCGGCGCGCUCCUGCCGUUAAAGAACCCAUCUUUAACCAAGGUUGACCUCGGAUCAGGUAGGAAUACCCGCUGAACUUAAGCAUAUCAAUAAGCGGAGGAAAAGAAACCAACAGGGAUUGCCCUAGUAACGGCGAGUGAAGCGGCAACAGCUCAAAUUUGAAAUCUGGCUUCGGCCCGAGUUGUAAUUUGUAGAGGAUGCUUUUGGCGAGGUGCCUUCUGAGUUCCCUGGAACGGGACGCCAGAGAGGGUGAGAGCCCCGUAUAGUCGGACACCAAGCCUUUGUAAAGCUCCUUCGACGAGUCGAGUAGUUUGGGAAUGCUGCUCAAAAUGGGAGGUAUAUCUCUUCUAAAGCUAAAUAUAGGCCAGAGACCGAUAGCGCACAAGUAGAGUGAUCGAAAGAUGAAAAGCACUUUGAAAAGAGGGUUAAAUAGCACGUGAAAUUGUUGAAAGGGAAGCGCUUGUGACCAGACUUGUGCCGGGCUGAUCAUCCAGUGUUCUCACUGGUGCACUCGACCCGGCUCAGGCCAGCGUCGGUUCUCGUGGGGGGAUAAAAACUUCGGGAACGUGGCUCC